AUACGGAGGAUGCGAGCGUUAUCCGGAUUUAUUGGGUUUAAAGGGUGCGUAGGCUGUGCGUUAAGUCAGGGGUGAAAUGCCGUCGCUCCACGACGGAGCUGCCCUUGAUACUGGCGUGCUGGAGUACGGAUGCCGUUGGAGGAAUGAGUGGUGUAGCGGUGAAAUGCUUAGAUAUCACUCAGAACACCGAUUGCGAAGGCAUCUGACGAAUCCGUCACUGACGCUGAGGCACGAAAGCGUGGGGAUAGAACAGGAUUAGAUACCCUGGUAUUCCACGCCGUAAACGAUGAUGACUAACCGUCGGCGAUAGACAGCCGGUGGCCAAGCGAAAGCGAUAAGUCAUCCACCUGGGGAGUACGUCGGCAACGAUGAAACUCAAAGGAAUUGGCGGGG
rnacentral:rRNA from 1 species